UAAAGUUAUAUUCGGAAAGAAUAAACCAGUUUUAUUCAAGAAAGGAGUUGUGUCGCUAAAGUUUCGUCGGAACGAAUUGACUGGAAAAUAAUUAAUGACUGGAGGCGUAACAAUAUGUACACACAGUAGAUAAACCUUAAAUCUCUUUCAUUGCUCCUUGACAUAUAAGAAACUGAUGAUAAUAUUUUGUUAUAGUUCUUUACUGCUUGACAUGUGACACAUUGACAAUAAUAUUUUGUUAUUGUUCUUUAAUGCUUGAUGUGACACAUUGACAAUAAUAUUUUAUUAUAGUUCUUUACUGCUUGACAUGUGACACAUUGACAAUAAUGUUUUGUUAUAGUUCUUUACUGCUUGACAUGUGACACAUUGACAAUAUUGUUUUGUUAUUGUUCUGUACUGCUUGAUAUGUGACACAUUAAUGAUAGUGUUUUGUUAUAGUUCUUUAUUGCUUGAUAUGUGACACAUUGAUGAUAAUGUUUUGUUAUAGUUAUUUACUCCUUGACAUGUGACACGUUGACCAUAAUAUUUGGUAUAGUUCAUAGAGGAAGUUAUACAUUGUAUGAUAUUUGAGUAUGAUAUAGUGAAGCAUGAUUUAUAUUCAGACUUGUUAUAGACAAAUCUACAUUAUUUAUACUUCUACCAACAGGAGAAGGUGGUUCCUUACAAGAAAGAUCUUUACAUACCAUUUUGAAGUCUGAUUUAGUAAAAGAGGAACAAGAAGAGAAGUAUGAAGCAACAGAAAAAACUGAGAACAUAUUUUUCACAGUAAAAACAGAACAACCUGAUGAUUUACCACAAAGUGAGGUUAUUUCAAAGUUCAAUGAAAGUAGUGAUGAUGAUUUGGAUAGUUCAAAAUGUGAUGUUAUCAAUGUGAAAACAGAAACUGAAUUCAAAGAAGAUUUACAGUAUAUUGAAUCUAGGUUGGAAAGUACAUCUGAUAUAAAGUCUGGUGC